rnacentral:misc_RNA from 1 species
AUCAGGUUACACUUUAUUUCUUUUUCUACCAUGUCACGAUUGUAAUUACUAUAAGCAGUUAGUUAUCAUGUUUGGGAGAUUAAACUCAAAAAUUGCUUUUGAAUUUGGAAAUAAUAUAUUAUUUUCACAUAUGAAAAUUGGCUUUUACGCUGUAAGCUAGCUAGAUUUUUAAUUGCAAUGCAAGAUUCUCAUAUUGAAAUUGAACGCUAUUAGCCAUUCAAAGGAAGAAAGAAAAGAAUCCCAAUGCUAUUGUAAAAGUGUGCAAGCCACAUAGCUAUUAUUUUUACUUUCAUUGUUAUUUUCUUUUUAAUAACGUUUUAGAUGCCAUUAUGCACUUAUGACCUUACUUUUAGUUGAUUUGCCAUUG